rnacentral:rRNA from 1 species
UCMUUUAAAUUGAUUAUGUUACAAUUACUAUUAAAUUUUUUUCGGGUUUGUUUUUAUUUAAGUUUAAUUAACACACUUUUUCUUUUUCGUUGAUUGCACCUUUACCUAACUUAUUAUUUUUUUUUUGAUAAUAUUAUUUAAUAAAUUCUUAAGAUGGUGGUAUGAAAAUUAUAAGAAAAAGUGAAAAAUAAGGUGAAUUGUCCAUUAUAAAGCAGGUUUCUCUAAUUUUAAAUGCCGCCAUUAYAAUGUAGUUUUUAGUAUUUU